CUGUAUUGCUUCGUAGGGUGGUUCCAAUUUAAGAGUGAGGGCAGAGGGCUGGUUUUAGCAGGCUUCCUAGAGCUGGCAUGCAAUGUUUCAUCCCCUAGACCGUGGGGGCGCAGACGCCAAGGAACCUUAACCUUCUCAAGAAGCUUUGGAUUAGGCCAGUGGUUCUCAUAUGACCCAGUCCUACCACCUACUAUCCCAACAUUCCCGCUGAUGAUAAGGACACCGGUGGCAAGCGUCCUGUCUUCUGGGGCUCACAUGACAACUCCACAGAGAAGACAGGAGGAGGAAGAUAGUGAUUUCCUGCUUGUCCCUGCUUAUAUUCUGAGUCUGCCUGCCGUGUCACUUCCUGCCUGGAUCACAAGACUUUUCUUUACUACAUUUCCCAGCAUCCUCGAUUCCUAGUCAUGCCUAACUUGCUUCCCUAUUGGCCAACAGUGCUUUAUUUCUCAACCAAUAAGACAUACAUAUACACAGAAGGUCUUCCCCCAUCAUCUCUUUUCUGUCUAAAUAAAAAAGAGGGUUUUA
rnacentral:lncRNA from 1 species